rnacentral:rRNA from 1 species
UACAGAGGUCUCAACCGUUGUUCGGAUUCAUUGGGCGUAAAGGGUGCGUAGGCGGCGGGGUAAGUCAGGUGUGAAAUCUCGGGGCUCAACCCCGAAACUGCACUUGAUACUGCCUCGCUUGAGUACUGGAGAGGAGACUGGAAUUUACGGUGUAGCAGUGAAAUGCGUAGAUAUCGUAAGGAAGACCAGUGGCGAAGGCGGGUCUCUGGACAGUUCCUGACACUGAGACACGAAGGCGUGGGGAGCAAACAGG